rnacentral:rRNA from 1 species
GUGUGACUGCGUACCUUUUGUAUAAUGGGUCAGCGACUUAUAUUCUGUAGCAAGGUUAACCGAAUAGGGGAGCCGAAGGGAAACCGAGUCUUAACUGGGCGUUAAGUUGCAGGGUAUAGACCCGAAACCCGGUGAUCUAGCCAUGGGCAGGUUGAAGGUUGGGUAACACUAACUGGAGGACCGAACCGACUAAUGUUGAAAAAUUAGCGGAUGACUUGUGGCUGGGGGUGAAAGGCCAAUCAAACCGGGAGAUAGCUGGUUCUCCCCGAAAGCUAUUUAGGUAGCGCCUCGUGAAUUCAUCUCCGGGGGUAGAGCACUGUUUCGGCAAGGGGGUCAUCCCGACUUACCAACCCGAUGCAAACUGCGAAUACCGGAGAAUGUUAUCACGGGAGACACACGGCGGGUGCUAACGUCCGUCGUGAAGAGGGAAACAACCCAGACCGCCAGCUAAGGUCCCAAAGUCAUGGUUAAGUGGGAAACGAUGUGGGAAGGCCCAGACAGCCAGGAUGUUGGCUUAGAAGCAGCCAUCAUUUAAAGAAAGCGUAAUAGCUCACUGGUCGAGUCGGCCUGCGCGGAAGAUGUAACGGGGCUAAACCAUGCACCGAAGCUGCGGCAGCGACGCUUAUGCGUUGUUGGGUAGGGGAGCGUUCUGUAAGCCUGCGAAGGUGUGCUGUGAGGCAUGCUGGAGGUAUCAGAAGUGCGAAUGCUGACAUAAGUAACGAUAAAGCGGGUGAAAAGCCCGCUCGCCGGAAGACCAAGGGUUCCUGUCCAACGUUAAUCGGGGCAGGGUGAGUCGACCCCUAAGGCGAGGCCGAAAGGCGUAGUCGAUGGGAAACAGGUUAAUAUUCCUGUACUUGGUGUUACUGCGAAGGGGGGACGGAGAAGGCUAUGUUGGCCGGGCGACGGUUGUCCCGGUUUAAGCGUGUAGGCUGGUUUUCCAGGCAAAUCCGGAAAAUCAAGGCUGAGGCGUGAUGACGAGGCACUACGGUGCUGAAGCAACAAAUGCCCUGCUUCCAGGAAAAGCCUCUAAGCAUCAGGUAACAUCAAAUCGUACCCCAAACCGACACAGGUGGUCAGGUAGAGAAUACCAAGGCGCUUGAGAGAACUCGGGUGAAGGAACUAGGCAAAAUGGUGCCGUAACUUCGGGAGAAGGCACGCUGAUAUGUAGGUGAAGUCCCUCGCGGAUGGAGCUGAAAUCAGUCGAAGAUACCAGCUGGCUGCAACUGUUUAUUAAAAACACAGCACUGUGCAAACACGAAAGUGGACGUAUACGGUGUGACGCCUGCCCGGUGCCGGAAGGUUAAUUGAUGGGGU